GUUGACUUUAAUGCCCACCCAUGUGUGAGUCUUCUGUCUAUGGAUGGAGCAUAGCAUGUCAAUGAAGACCUGUCUGACAGCAAUCCCUGGACAACCUGGAAAAGAAAAUGGGCCACACCUCCGCAACUGCACUGGAUCCAACUUGCUCCAUUUCAAUCGACACUCUGGCCAAAGCUUUGGAUACUGACUUCAAUCAAGUUGAGGAAUUCAAGCAAGGUCUUCAAUCAAGCUAAUCCCAUCUAACAUGGACUGGAUACAAUCCAUUCAAGACUUUUACUAUACUAACAUUUUCUUCCUACAGGACCCCCACAUGACUAUCGUCG
rnacentral:lncRNA from 1 species